UGGCGAGUCAGUCGCCUCUAACACUAAUAAAAGCUUUUAAGAAAAACCACUCUUAUUAAAUGAAAAAAGAAGCACACACUGAUCUAUAGAAAAUUAUCCCUCUCAAUUUCCUCUUUGCUUAAAUCUCUCAAUUCGAACCGCUCAAAUCACAAAUUGUGAUCCAUCUGAUAGCAACACAAAAUCCCUAAUCAGAAAUCGUGACUCCAUCAGAUCCAUGAAAUGGCAAUGGUCUCUGCGGUCCAAGAAGCUCAGAAGGAUAACCUAAAAAAUUUUAAUGAUUACAUGAUGAAAGUUCUGGAGAACGAGUGGAAGAAGGAAAAAGGGGACUUCCUCCGGAGCCUAAGCUGAAUUUCUGCCUUACCUAGGACCAAUAUCAGUGAAUCAAGCCCUUUAGGUGGUCGUUAGGGGCAAAUAGCAUCUUUGACAUAUAGCCCUCAGAUUUCUUCCGGUCUAGCUAGUGUGGAGUCUGUACCAUUAGCCAAUAGGCCCAUUUUUGAGAAAAAAGUUGCUGUAUAUGGAGAAGUUGUCAAGAAUCUCAAUAGUGCAAGAGAGCGUAGUUUUCCCUUCAAAGUAAGUUCCCCAGCUUGGCUCUUCAUGGCUUGGUUCCUCCUUCCUGCGAAGCCAGUAUAUUUCUUCUAUUUAGUUUUUGUGAUUAUAUCUUGUAUUGAUUUAUUAUGUAAUUAGAGAACUAAGAUGUCAAUUAUUACACCUAAUUAAAAGAACAUGAAGAUUGUUACCUGGGGCUUGAAACGGAAUAGUUGCAAAGUACUUGGAUUCUAAGAA